UACGUAGGCAGCAAGCGUUGUUCGGAGUUACUGGGCGUAAAGAGUGCGUAGGUGGUGCCCUAAGUCUGUUGUGAAAUCUCCCGGCUUAACUGGGAGGGUGCGGUGGAAACUGGGGUGCUUGAGUGUGGGAGAGGUAGGCGGAAUUCCUGGUGUAGCGGUGAAAUGCGUAGAUAUCAGGAGGAACACCGGUGGUGUAGACGGCUUACUGGACCACGACUGACACUGAGGCACGAAAGCGUGGGUAGCAAACAGG
rnacentral:rRNA from 1 species